CCUCUGACAAAUGGGCCAUCUGCUUCCUGCAGACGCUGAGAGGUGCCAGGCCUGUGAUGUGUCAGGCAUAGCACACACGCCCGGAGGAUCCCAGCGGUGCCUACACAACUCCCACUAGCUCCAAGUGUCUGCUGGCACCUGUGCCUGGAACGUCCGGGGCUGAGCGGGGCUGCAGUACUGCAGGGGCAUGGCCUGGGGAGCCGGGCGGGGCCGCGAGAAUCAGAAAGGAGCCAUUCACCAGUGACGAGGUGCCAGCCACGCUGAGCACCUGCCACCCACCUGGCUGUAGAUGCAAGCUGCGGCAGCUCGCCCUCCCCACGGGGGCCAUGACCGACGCCCUGAGAUCCGGAGAGGCCCACUAGACAGCCACCCCUUCCUCAGAACCACCCUCUCUCCUGUCCUGUUCUCCCUGCCACUUCGCCUGGUUUGCUCUGAUAGACCGAGCAGGUUGCCCACAGCCCCAGCAGCAGUGCACGCCCCAGGAAAGGCCGGAUCUCAGGCUACAGCUCUGCCUCUACCCAGCAGGCAGAAGGACACCCGCCACCAGGCCUUGCGGGACCUGCCCUGCAGACACAAUGGUCAGCUUGUUCCUCUGGCCACCCAAUCCUCUCCACCCUGCCUGGGUGCCAGGAAGAAGGUGAGCAAGGGGUCACUGAAGGUCACUAAGCAGGCUCCAUGUCAUUGGCAAGGCCCAAGCAGGUGCCUGAGUCCCCAGAGCAGCUGAGUGUGGGUGGCAGAGUUGCUCCCCAAGGAUGAGUGUGGCUCAGACCUGGAGUAGUGAUGUCACCGGAAGUGACACAGGGGAACUGAGGGUGCCUCAGGAGGGAGGAUCAUGCUGGGGCAGCCAGGCAGCCCCCUCUGCAAGCUGACAGGUGAGGACACAGAUUCUCCUGAGCCUCUGGAGUAACGUGACCUGUGACACCUCGACCUCCACCUGUGGGAACCUUGUUGACCACUGACCUCCAUGGUGGCAUGAGGGUGAGUUCGUGUCCCCAGCCCCUAAGUUUGUGGCCAUCUGCCAAAGCAGCAAGAGGAACAGGAAACCGUGAGCCCCCAGGGGAAUGAAUCUCAGCUGUGCACCCUGCACUGCAGCCCCCUGAGACUGGAGCCCCCCCCCCGACCCCCAGGAAUAUGGAGAGUGACCCAUGCCAAGCAUCACGAUGGUACGUCCUCUGUCCACAGGAAGUCACAGGUAGACUUGGGCAUGUGUCAGGAUGUGGGUCCAAUCUAGCCCUGGGUGAGGGCCUAUUGGGGUGCAGGGGGCCUGG
rnacentral:lncRNA from 1 species